GCUGGUAUGGCGGAAUAGGUAGACGCAAGGGACUUAAAAUCCCUCGGUAGCAAUGCCGUAUCGGUUCAAGUCCGAUUACCAGCACCA
rnacentral:tRNA from 1 species